UGUAUGUUUCAUUAAAAUAUUUUAUUUUAAUUGGCUAACUGCACAUUAUGUGUUGUUCCUUAAGCAAUUGCAUCACUCAAUAAAACUUUUCAUUCAUGUUAACACAUGGUACCACAAUAAAGUGCACACUCAGGUGAAUUAAAUAAAAAAAUAUAUAUAAAAUUCGUGUUUGCAUGAUCAUAGCUAAAAAUGUAAUUAUAAGUAUUGAAUGCUUCUUUUUGUAACUUCAUAGGGUUGUAAAAGCGUUGACCGUGCGCUAAUUUUUGUCGAGCCUUCGACUUUAGUCGAAAAAGCGAGACUAAGCGAUCCUACUUUCCGUCGUCGUCGUGGGCGGCGUCCACAAAUAUUCACUCUGUGGUUAAAGUUUUUGAAAUUUUAAUAACUUUCCUAAACUAUACUGGAUUUCUACCAAACUUGGACAGAAGCUUGUUUAUGAUCAUAAGAUAGUAUCCAAAGUAAAUUUUGUAAAAAUAAAAUUCCAUUUUUUCCGUAUUUUACUUAUAAAUGGACUUAGUUUUUUUCUGCGGGGAAACAUUACAUUCACUCUGUGGUUAAAUUUUUAGAAUUUUAAUAACUUUCUUAAACUAUCCUUGGUUUGUACCAAACUUGGACAGAAGCUUAUUUAUGAUCAUAAGAUAGUAUCCAGAAGUAAAUUUUGUAAAAAGAUAACUCCAUUUUUUCUGUAUUUUACUUUUAAAUGGACUUAGAUUUUCUUCCAGUUAAUACUUCAUACAGUCUGCAGUUAAAGUUUUCAAAACAUUUAUAAGAUUCAUUAACUAUCCUAGAUUUUUACCAAACUUGGACAGAAGCUUCUUACAAUCAAAAGAUAGUAUCAAGAGGAAUAUUUUUAUUGAUUUUUUUCCUAAUUUUUGUUGAGCCUGUGAUUUACAGCAAAAGUAGGCGAGACACUGGGUUCCGCGGAACCCUUACAAAUUUUUAGA